rnacentral:tRNA from 1 species
GAGGGUAUAGCUCAGUGGUAGAGCAAGUGCUUAGCAUGCAUGAGGUCCUGGGUUCUAUCCCAGUACUUCCA